rnacentral:rRNA from 1 species
UACGGAGGGUGCAAGCGUUAUCCGGAUUUACUGGGUUUAAAGGGUGCGUAGGCGGCUUCUUAAGUCAGUGGUGAAAUCCUAGUGCUUAACACUAGAACGGCCAUUGAUACUGGGAGGCUUGAGUCAAGGAGAGGUAAGCAGAAUUUAUGGUGUAGCAGUGAAAUGCUUAGAUACCAUAAGGAAUACCAAUAGCGAAGGCAGCUUACUGGCCUUGUACUGACGCUGAGGCACGAAAGCGUGGGGAGCAAACAGGAUUAGAGACCCUGGUAGUCCACGCUGUAAACGAUGAUCACUCGACAUACAUGCUAGUCAUGUGUAUCCAAGCGAAAGCAUUAAGUGAUCCACCUGGGGAGUACGCUCGCAAGAGUGAA